rnacentral:rRNA from 1 species
UACGGAGGGUGCGAGCGUUGUCCGGAAUUACUGGGCGUAAAGAGCUCGUAGGUGGUUUGUCGCGUUGUUCGUGAAAACUCACAACUCAAUUGUGGGCGUGCGGGCGAUACGGGCAGACUGGAGUACUGCAGGGGAGACUGGAAUUCCCGGUGUAGCGGUGGAAUGCGUAGAGAUCGGGAAGAACAUCAGUGGCGAAGGCGGCCUGCUGGGCUGUUGCUGACGCUGAGGCGCGACAGCGUGGGGGAGCAAACAGG